rnacentral:rRNA from 1 species
UACAGAGGGUGCGAGCGUUAAUCGGAAUUACUGGGCGUAAAGCGCGCGUAGGCGGCUUUUCAAGUCGGUUGUGAAAUCCCCGGGCUUAACCUGGGAACUGCAGUCGAGACUGUCUAGCUAGAGUAUGGGAGAGGGAAGUGGAAUUUCAGGUGUAGCGGUGAAAUGCGUAGAUAUCUGAAGGAACAUCAGUGGCGAAAGCGACUUCCUGGACCAAUACUGACGCUCAUGUGCGAAAGCGUGGGGAGCAAACAGG